AGUUUGAUCCUGGCUCAGGAUGAACGCUAGCUACAGGCUUAACACAUGCAAGUCGAGGGGCAGCAUUGGAGUAGCAAUACUUCAGAUGGCGACCGGCGCACGGGUGAGUAACACGUAUCCAACCUGCCGCUUACUCGGGGAUAGCCUUUCGAAAGAAAGAUUAAUACCCGAUGGUAUAAAGAGUUCGCAUGUUCUCUUUAUUAAAGAAUUUCGGUAAGCGAUGGGGAUGCGUUCCAUUAGAUUGUUGGCGGGGUAACGGCCCACCAAGUCUACGAUGGAUAGGGGUUCUGAGAGGAAGGUCCCCCACAUUGGAACUGAGACACGGUCCAAAUCCUACGGGAGGCAGCAGUGAGGAAUAUUGGUCAAUGGACGAGAGUCUGAACCAGCUAAGUAGCGUGAAGGAUGACUGCCCUAUGGGUUGUAAACUUCUUUUAUAAGNGGAAUAAAGUGAGGGACGUGUCCCUUUUUGUAUGUACCUUAUGAAUAAGGAUCGGCUAACUCCGUGCCAGCAGUCGCGGUAAUACGGAGGAUCCGAGCGUUAUCCGGAUUUAUUGGGUUUAAAGGGAGCGUAGGUUGACGUAUAAGUCAGCUGUGAAAGUUUACGGCUCAACCGUGAAAUUGCAGUUGAUACUGUAUGUCUUGAGUGUACAAGAGGUGGGCGGAAUUCGUGGUGUAGCGGUGAAAUGCUUAGAUAUCACGAAGAACUCCAAUUGCGAAGGCAGCUCACUGGGGUACAACUGACACUGAGGCUCGAAAGUGUGGGUAUCAAACAGGAUUAGAUACCCUGGUAGUCCACACAGUAAACGAUGAAUACUCGCUGUUUGCGAUAUACAGUAAGCGGCCAAGCGAAAGCAUUAAGUAUUCCACCUGGGGAGUACGCCGGCAACGGUGAAACUCAAAGGAAUUGACGGGGGCCCGCACAAGCGGAGGAACAUGUGGUUUAAUUCGAUGAUACGCGAGGAACCUUACCCGGGCUUGAAUUGCAGAGGAAUAUAGUUGAAAGAUUAUCGCCGCAAGGUCUCUGUGAAGGUGCUGCAUGGUUGUCGUCAGCUCGUGCCGUGAGGUGUCGGCUUAAGUGCCAUAACGAGCGCAACCCUUAUCAUUAGUUACUAACAGGUCAUGCUGAGGACUCUAGUGAGACUGCCGUCGUAAGAUGUGANGAANGUGGA
rnacentral:rRNA from 1 species